AGUCAAUGUCUAGAGGGGCUUGGGGGCAACUCCAAGUCACUGGCGGACGGGCGUAUACAACACGUGAGUAGUCAUCCUUCGAGUGUGGAAUAACCUGCCGAAAGGCGGGCUAAUACCGCAUAACACUCCUUGAACUUCGGUUCGGGGAUUCAAAGCCGGGGACCGCAAGGCCUGGCGCUUGAAGACGAGCUCGCGCCUGAUUAGCUAGUUGGUGGGGUAAUGGCCUACCAAGGCGAUGAUCAGUAGCCGAUCUGAGAGGAUGACCGGCCACACUGGCACUGAGACACGGGCCAGACUCCUACGGGAGGCAGCAGUGGGGAAUCUUGGGCAAUGGGCGAAAGCCUGACCCAGCGACGCCGCGUGAAGGAUGACGGUUUUCGGACUGUAAACUUCUGUGAGGACAGAAAAAGGGGACAAGACCCAACACGUCUUGUUUCUGAUAGUACGUCCAGAGGAAGCCCCGGCUAACUCCGUGCCAGCAGCCGCGGUAAUACGGAGGGGGCAAGCGUUGUUCGGAAUUACUGGGCGUAAAGGGCGCGUAGGCGGCUUUUUAAGUCGGUGGUGAAAUCCCGUGGCUCAACUGCGGAAUGGCCAUCGAUACUGGAAAGCUUGAAUCCGGAAGAGGUCGGCGGAAUUACUGGUGUAGCGGUGAAAUGCGUAGAUAUCAGUAGGAACACCGAUGGCGAAGGCAGCUGGCUGGACCGGUAUU
rnacentral:rRNA from 1 species